rnacentral:lncRNA from 1 species
GGAAAAGAAAAAAACCUUCAAGAGGAAAAUGGAUUUCCUGGAGUGAUAUGUCUGCCUUAUGAGAGUGGGGAAUAGGGUAUCCUGCCUCCUGUUACCAAGAGCACUGUGACUACUGCCGGCCAAACUGAGACUGACUCCUGACAGCAGGUAGCUCAGGGCAAUGAACUAGCCCUUGAAAUGCAAGGGACUGCCAUGGAAACCUUGAUUUCAUGUUGGACCAUACCAAACUGGUGCAGCUUGUGCUCCCAAGCAGUAAAAGUCUCUUGCCUGAUGCUGAGCUGCCUCUUGCUCCCUGUCCUUCAGAUCAGAGAAAGAACUGAAUAUGAAGACUUUUAAAAC